ensembl:snoRNA snoRNA:Me28S-U1848 snoRNA:Me28S-U1848
GUUUAAUUGAUGAUAAGUAAUUACCGUUUGAUAUCCGUGAUAUUAAACCCCAAGGCUGCUAUUUAAUAGUAACUGAUUCG